rnacentral:rRNA from 1 species
CCUACGGGUGGCAGCAGUGGGGAAUAUUGCACAAUGGGGGAAACCCUGAUGCAGCGACGCCGCGUGAGUGAAGCAGUAAUUCGUUAUGUAAAGCUCUAUCAGCAGGGAAGAAAAUGACGGUAUCUGAGUAAGAAGCCACGGCUAACUACGUGCCAGCAGCCGCGGUAAUACGUAGGGGGCAAGCGCUAUCCGGAUUUACUGGGGGGAAAGGGAGCGUAGACGGCAGUGCAAGUCUGGAGUGAAAGGCGGGGGCUCAACCCCCGGACUGCUCUGGAAACUGUACGGCUGGAGUGCAGGAGAGGUAAGUGGAAUUCCUAGUGUAGCGGUGAAAUGCGUAGAUAUUAGGAGGAACACCAGUGGCGAAGGCGGCUUACUGGACUGUAACUGACGUUGAGGCUCGAAAGCGUGGGGAGCAAACAGGAUUAGAUACCCCUGUAGUC